rnacentral:rRNA from 1 species
CCUGACGAACGCUGGCGGCGUGCCUAAUACAUGCAAGUCGAGCGAACAGAAAAAGGAGCUUGCUCCUUUGACGUUAGCGGCGGACGGGUGAGUAACACGUGGGCAAACCUACCCUAUAGUUUGGGAUAACUCCGGGAAAACCGGGGCUAAUACCGAAUAAUCUCUUUUGCUUCAUGGUGAAAGACUGAAAGACGGUUUCGGCUGUCGCUAUAGGAUGGGCCCGCGGCGCAUUAGCUAGUUGGUGAGGUAACGGCUCACCAAGGCGACGAUGCGUAGCCGACCUGAGAGGGUGAUCGGCCACACUGGGACUGAGACACGGCCCAGACUCCUACGGGAGGCAGCAGUAGGGAAUUCUUCCACGAUGGGCGAAAGCCUGAUGGAGCAACGCCGCGUGAGUGAAAGAAAGGUUUUCGGAUCGUAAAAACUUCUGUUGUAAGGGAAGAACAAGUACAGUAGUAACUGGCUGUACC